UGAUGAUAUCAGUCUUUGUCUUACAGGUCCAGGAGAUUGUGGAUGAGCAAAUAGAAGAUGGAUGCACGCGCACGCGCACACACACAGUGGGGGUUCCACUGCAGGACCAGGCUCUGUGGAGAUGGAAACUGGAGAAUGAAGUAUACUCAGAACACAGAGAUAGCGGUUAACAGGAAGUUUAUUGACAGCAACUGAGUUGGAGCAGAAUAUCAGGUCCAGGAGAUUGUGGAUGAGCAGAUGGAAGAUGGAUGCACAUGCACACACACACACACACAUACACACUCAAUGGACGGUGAGUGCACACACAGAGACGAUGGAGGACGAUGAUGAGGAGAAC